rnacentral:rRNA from 1 species
UAUUCCCCACUGCUGCCUCCCGUAGGAGUCUGGGCCGUAUCUCAGUCCCAAUGUGGCCGUUCAACCUCUCAGUCCGGCUACUGAUCGCAGUCUUGGUAGGCCGUUACCCUACCAACUAACUAAUCAGAUAUGAGCCCAUCUUCCAGCGGAUUGCUCCUUUGGUAUCAAAAGGAUGCCCUCUCGAUACAUUAUGCGGUAUUAGCAGUCGUUUCCAACUGUUGUCCCCCUCUGAAAGGCAGGUUGCUCAUACAUUACUCACCCGUCCGCCACUAAGUCAAAUCCCUCUUCGACGAAUCUCUGAGGAAGAUGCUUCGUUCGACUUGCAUGUGUUAGGCACGCCGCCAGCGUUCAUCCUGAGCCAA